UAAGGAAUAUUGGUCAAUGGGCGCAAGCCUGAACCAGCCAUGCCGCGUGCAGGAAGACGGCCCUACGGGUUGUAAACUGCUUUUAUUCGGGAAUAAACCCUUCUACGUGUAGGAGGCUGAAUGUAACGAAGGAAUAAGGAUCGGAUAACUCCGUGCCAGCAGCCGCGGUAAUACGGAGGAUCCAAGCGUUAUCCGGAUUUAUUGGGUUUAAAGGGUGCGUAGGCGGCUUAUUAAGUCAGGGGUGAAAGACGGUGGCUCAACCAUCGCAGUGCCUUUGAUACUGAUGAGCUUGAAUACACUUGAGGUAGGCGGAAUGUGACAAGUAGCGGUGAAAUGCAUAGAUAUGUCACAGAACACCAAUUGCGAAGGCAGCUUACUAAAGUGAGAUUGACGCUGAGGCACGAAAGCGUGGGGAGCAAA
rnacentral:rRNA from 1 species